CACAUUUUGGAAGAGCUCUUCGUACUUUGCUAGGGUUGGGGGUAAUAGAGAAGCAGAGAAGUGGAAGAGCGUGUUGUGGUAGGGUUCGGUUGAUAGAGAAGGCGAGAACUCCAUGGGUGCCACUUAAUCGGAGGGUGUACGAGAAGCACAAUUAGCUCAGUACAAGUACAUGUUGGUUGUCGGAGAGGAGGAAGCAAAUACUGGACAGGUUUUUGCAAGUGAUAUUGGUUGCCGAAGUGAUGACCUAGUAUGUCUAUCAAUACCAAUUGUUACCAAAAGCCUCCAACAUGUUCCGUUGAUGACAUCCUUAGCAAAUUGAUUUCACCUGUUUACAACGACAAACAUGAAAGCAGUGGAUCAAACAAGAACAAUUAAAAGUAAAACAAAUUGAGGACUUUCAUAAUUUGUUGAUUUGUAUUUCAAUUUUAUCCUUGUCAUUUUUUAAUAUUGUGCGUGGUUACACUACUUUGUUACGCAGUACAAUUAGUGAAGUACUAAAGUUAGUUUCAUGAAUGUGUUGUUGCAUUAAGUGGUAAUGUCAUGUAUGUUAUGUUCUAAGUUUUAUAUGAUGUUGUGAUAUAAAAAAAAUUGACAAAUUCGUAUAGUAAA